UACGUAGGGUGCAAGCGUUGUCCGGAAUUAUUGGGCGUAAAGAGCUCGUAGGCGGUUUGUUGCGUCGGCUGUGAAAUCCCGAGGCUCAACCUCGGGUCUGCAGUCGAUACGAGCAAACUAGAGUGUUGCAGGGGAGACUGGAAUUCCUGGUGUAGCGGUGAAAUGCGCAGAUAUCAGGAGGAACACCGGUGGCGAAGGCGGCCCGCUGGGCAGUGGCUGACGCUGAGGCGCGACAGCGUGGGGAGCAAACAGG
rnacentral:rRNA from 1 species